CACUGGAGCACUUACUCUCCAAGGUUAGCGAUCUCAUGAUCUGGGCUCUUCGCAAGUAAUCCCCUCUUCCUUCUCCUCCCCUUUCUUUUCUAGAGUUUUCUACAUUUGAUUCCCUUUCAUCUUUCUAUCUUUCUGUAGAACCCAUAAUAGUUUAUUGAUUUUUUUACAAACUAUGAAGAAGCCUGAGUUACUUUUCAGCUGAUUGGUUUUUGGAGCUUUCGUUCUGUCUCAGAUUAAGAGGAUUGAUUCGCCCAGUUGGGGCUUGCAAAUUAAAAAUUUCAUUGAAAGAAGUACUUGCUGAAAAAUUUGCUGGUGUAGGGUUGAUUGGUUUUGUCUAUUUCCUUCUAAUUUAUAACUGUAUUUUAAUUUGGCACAGUUCUUUCUCUUGAUAAUAUGCUAAAUGCUGGAUUUUCUCUAUUGAUUUCUGUAGUGAUCUUUAUUUCAGGGCUUUUCCAUGGCAGAUUUAUGAAGGAGACAUUCGAGACACCUUGAAAGCAAG
rnacentral:lncRNA from 1 species